rnacentral:rRNA from 1 species
CAGUCGCCACGGUAAUACGUAGGGUGCAAGCGUUAAUCGGAAUUACUGGGCGUAAAGCGUGCGCAGGCGGUUAUAUAAGACAGAUGUGAAAUCCCCGGGCUCAACCUGGGAACUGCAUUUGUGACUGUAUAGCUAGAGUACGGCAGAUGGGGAUGGAAUUCCGCGUGUAGCAGUGAAAUGCGUAGAUAUGCGGAGGAACACCGAUGGCGAAGGCAAUCCCCUGGGCCUGUACUGACGCUCAUGCACGAAAGCGUGGGGAGCAAACAGGAUUAGAUACCCCUGUAGUCCCUGUCUCUUAUAC